CCUGUGCAGCCUUGUGAAGCUGCCCCUGGCCCAGCCUGUUGCCUGUGGGUACAACAAGCUGCAGAAAGCAACUCAAAGAAUGAAAAGGCGUGGCUCCUGGAGGCUCGGGAGUGUCACGUGCGAUGUUCUUUGCACAGACCCCUGCCUCCCACGGUGGUGACGACCUCCCCCGGUAGCCGUCACCUUUCUUGAGGCAGGUAGAGUAAAAUCUGGCAGCCAGAUAUUGUCUGAAACAGGGGAAGCUCUUCCUGUCAGACACUGUUCAGCUGUCACACUG
ensembl:scaRNA small Cajal body-specific RNA 13